ACAACACACUAGGGGAGCCGACAAGGCUGAGAUUGAACGUUCGUUCUAAACCCUUUGAACCUGAGAUGGGUAAUGCCAGCGUAGGGAAGUGGUGGAGUCUUUUU
rfam:Bacillus smithii strain DSM 4216, complete genome.